CCCUGGGAGGGCAUGGGAAGGUCCCUGCCUGUCUUGUGACCCUGUGCCUGUCCCCACUGCAGGGUGAAGGUGGCUUGAGGGGUGAACGAGGAGAGCCUGGUGAGAAGGGCAGGGACGGCAACCCCGGUCUCCCGGGUGAGAGAGGGCUGGCAGGCCCUGAGGGGAAGCCGGGCUUGCCAGGCUUUCCUGGCGUGCUGGG